GGUGGAUUGAACCUGGUUUAAUAGCGCUAAACCUCUCACGUGUAUGACAGUCGCAUCGAAUCCCGUUAUAUCUAUAACGAUUCGUGAACAAAACAGACACAAUGGGCAAAAUUGUCAAAAUAGGGACAUAGCCAUCAUCAUCGUGUUACAAUCUCAGAACAAAAACAAACAAAUAUAUAACAAAGAAGCACAAAACAUGAGAUAUAAAAUUUAACAAACACAUGCAUUUAUACUUAUAUAUGUUUUUAAAUCAACCAAAAUGACUGCUAUCGAGGUUUACAUCAAC
rnacentral:lncRNA from 1 species